AGCGAACGCUGGCGGCAGGCCUAACACAUGCAAGUCGAACGAACUCUUCGGAGUUAGUGGCGGACGGGUGAGUAACACGUGGGAACGUGCCUUUAGGUUCGGAAUAACUCAGGGAAACUUGUGCUAAUACCGAAUGUGCCCUUCGGGGGAAAGAUUUAUCGCCUUUAGAGCGGCCCGCGUCUGAUUAGCUAGUUGGUGAGGUAAAGGCUCACCAAGGCUACGAUCAGUAGCUGGUCUGAGAGGAUGACCAGCCACAUUGGGACUGAGACACGGCCCAAACUCCUACGGGAGGCAGCAGUGGGGAAUCUUGCGCAAUGGGCGAAAGCCUGACGCAGCCAUGCCGCGUGGAUGAUGAAGGUCUUAGGAUUGUAAAAUCCUUUCACCGGUGAAGAUAAUGACUGUAGCCGGAGAAGAAGCCCCGGCUAACUUCGUGCCAG
rnacentral:rRNA from 1 species